UACGGAGGUGGCAAGCGUUGCUCGGAAUCACUGGGCGUAAAGGGCGCGUAGGCGGGGAGGUAAGUCGGGUGUGAAAUCCCUCGGCCCAACUGAGGAACUGCGCCCGAGACUGCUUCUCUUGAGUCCCGGAGAGGAAGAUGGAAUUCCCGGUGUAGCGGUGAAAUGUGUAGAGAUCGGGAGGAACACCGGUGGCGAAGGCGGCUACCUGGACCGGUUCUGACGCUGAGGCGCGAAAGCGUGGGGAGCAAACAGG
rnacentral:rRNA from 1 species